rnacentral:rRNA from 1 species
GGAAAUCUCACCAGGCCGGACACUGGAAGGAUUGACAGAUUGAUAGCUCUUUCUUCAGUGGGUGGUGGUGCAUGGCCGUUCUUAGUUGGUUGAGUGAUUUGUCUUGUUAAUUCCGUUAACGAACGAGACCUUAACCUGCUAAAUAGUGACGCGGUUCAUCGAACCGUGGGCCACUUCUUAGAGGGACUAUCGGAUUCAAACCGAUGGAAGUGUGAGGCAAUAA